rnacentral:rRNA from 1 species
GACGAACGCUGGCGGCGUGCUUAACACAUGCAAGUCGAACGGAAAGGCCCUGCUUUUGUGGGGUGCUCGAGUGGCGAACGGGUGAGUAACACGUGAGUAACCUGCCCUUGACUUUGGGAUAACUUCAGGAAACUGGGGCUAAUACCGGAUAGGAGCUCCUGCUGCAUGGUGGGAGUUGGAAAGUUUCGGCGGUUGGGGAUGGACUCGCGGCUUAUCAGCUUGUUGGUGGGGUAGUGGCUUACCAAGGCUUUGACGGGUAGCCGGCCUGAGAGGGUAACCGGCCACAUUGGGACUGAGAUACGGCCCAGACUCCUACGGGAGGCAGCAGUGGGGAAUAUUGCACAAUGGGCGGAAGCCUGAUGCAGCAACGCCGCGUGCGGGAUGACGGCCUUCGGGUUGUAAACCGCUUUCGCCUGUGACGAAGCGUGAGUGACGGUAAUGGGUAAAGAAGCACCGGCUAACUACGUG